rnacentral:rRNA from 1 species
UACAGAGGGUGCGAGCGUUAAUCGGAAUUACUGGGCGUAAAGCGUGCGUAGACGGUAGCGUAAGUCGGGUGUGAAAGCCCCGGGCUCAACCUGGGAAUUGCAUUCGAGACUGCUCUGCUAGGGUGCGGAAGAGGGAAGCGGAAUUUCCGGUGUAGCGGUGAAAUGCGUAGAUAUCGGAAGGAACACCAGUGGCGAAAGCGGCUUCCUGGUCCAGCACCGACGUCAGGCACGAAAGCGUGGGGAGCAAACAGG